rnacentral:lncRNA from 1 species
AGACUACAUUUUUCUUUCUUGAUUUUGCAGGAAAACUAGGUGUCUGUGUUCACUCCAGGCUGAAGUUACAGGUGAGUAAACCUAAAUGUAAGGUGGACUAUGCUAAAAAUUCCCAAUGAAGAAACUUUCACAUGUCUUACUCUCUGUCCUAGUCCCAGAGCCUGUAAAGGUGAACCCACUGGGACUGGCUGGGGGAGAAGAGGAAGAUUUGUUCCAGAAGGAACUGUCUGAGGGAUGAUAAAGAUUUCUAUACAGAGAAAGGGAGUAAUCAUCACUUGUUGAAAACAUUGGUUUUAUUUUUUCCAGGUCUGAGCAAAUAAGGUGUAUAAAAAAUGGUAGGUAUCUGUUUAAAUAUUUAACUGAUUUUAUAAUAGCAACCUUUUGCUCCUAGGUUACAUAGUGUUAAAUAUUGUGUUCAUUUGUAUUUUCCAAUCCAAUAAGAACUUUUUUUUUUACCUCUGCAGGAAUCUGUCUUGGAGGACAUCAGAAGGUGAAUUUUCCAAGUUCUUGGACAACCUAGCUGUUGAAAAGCUUUCUGGGUUUGGGGGGUAUUUCAGAUGUACCUUAAAGUGUUAGCAGACACAGAUUAAGACACUGGGAGCCAAUGAAACAGCAGUUGAGGGUUUGCUGUGUAUCACAUUUCUGUAUUUUAUCACCCCCUUCCUGCAACAUUAUUUAUCUGGAAUCUACCUGCCCUUUUGUUUUUUAGAUACAAGGGCUUGGUUUUGUUACCCAGGCUGGUUUCAAGGCCAUAGCUUUAAGAGAUCCUCUCACCACAGAUUUCCAAAGUGCUGGGAUUGCAGGUGUGAUUCAUGGCACCCAGACUUUGCUGCCUUUCUUACAUGAUCCAGGCCCAGAACCCAAACUCAGGCACUGUAUAGAUGACCACUUUCGUAAACUACUGACCUAGCUUGUUGCCAAUUGUUGAUUGAACUUCCCAUAACUCCACUUCGUGUCUGUUCCUCUGUAUACAGCCACCUUCUGUUCCCGUCAUGAGCCUUUAGGUCUCCAUUUGCAUAUUGCAAAUACUAUGUUCCAUGUAGGUAGCUCAUUCAGGGCCUUGCUCUUCACUUCAAAAAAGGUUCCCUUGAGGACUGGCUGUCAAUUUGUGUUGCUGUGUUGGUUGUUGAUGAAAAUAAUAAAAUGAUUGAUUACAUA